CAGCGCUACAAGUGGCAAUCAGAUUUAUUGGGUCUAAAGCGUCCGUAGCCGGUUUGAUAAGUCUUUUGUGAAAUUGUUGUGCUUAACACAACAACGUGCAAGAGAUACUGUCAGACUUGGAACUGGGAGGGGUUAGAGGUAUUCCUUGGGGAGCGGUAAAAUGCUAUAAUCCUCGGAGGACCACCUGUGGCGAAAGCGUCUAACCAGAACAGCUUCGACGGUGAGGGACGAAAGCUAGGGGAGCGAACCGGAUUAGAUACCCGAGUAGUCC
rnacentral:rRNA from 1 species